UGGGGAAUAUUGGACAAUGGGCGAAAGCCUGAUCCAGCCAUGCCGCGUGUGUGAAGAAGGCCUUUUGGUUGUAAAGCACUUUAAGCGAGGAGGAGGCUACUAGUACUAAUACUACUGGAUAGUGGACGCUACUCGCAGAAUAAGCACCGGCUAACUCUGUGCCAGCAGCCGCGGUAAUACAGAGGGUGCGAGCGUUAAUCGGAUUUACUGGGCGUAAAGCGUGCGUAGGCGGCUAAUUGAGUCGGAUGUGAAAUCCCCGAGCUUAACUUGGGAAUUGCAUUCGAUACUGGUUAGCUAGAGUGUGGGAGAGGAUGGUAGAAUUCCAGGUGUAGCGGUGAAAUGCGUAGAGAUCUGGAGGAAUACCGAUGGCGAAGGCAGCCAUCUGGCCUAACACUGACGCUGAGGUACGAAAGCAUGGGGAGCAAACAGG
rnacentral:rRNA from 1 species